UGAGCAAUCUGCCCUUCUCUUUGGAAUAAGCGUUGGAAACGACGUCUAAUGCCGAAUACGACCUCCUUUCGCAUGAUCGGAGGUGGAAAGCUCCGGCGGAGAAGGAUGAGCUCGCGGCCUAUCAGCUAGUUGGUGUGGGUAAUGGCCCACCAAGGCGACGACGGGUAGCCGGCCUGAGAGGGUGACCGGCCACACUGGGACUGAGACACGGCCCAGACUCCUACGGAGGGNAGCG
rnacentral:rRNA from 1 species